GUAACCCCGAGACGCCCUGCAGCCUUGGCGAUCUUCAAUGUAGCCAUUUGGGAAGAGAAAAAAAUAGAGAAUGUACUCCUUUCCUCUGCAAACCUGGUCGUUAAGACGGGGCCCCUCCCGGGCAGAAGUGGACAAACUGAGACUCAAGUUGUUCUGGGAUCAUACGGAGACUAGCAGAGUUGAGAUUUUAUGUCUCAUUUUAGAGGAAUCAAGAAAGAUCAGGUUCCCCCACCUCCUAUCCUGAUGACCUAUGGAGAAUAUGAGAGCUUCAAGCUCUACGGGAUGAGUGGCCCAGGCCAUGAGGAAGACAAGAUGUUCUCAUCAUUGGAGUUUUCCUUUGAUUGCUAGUUUCCAUUACACAAAGUGACCACUCCUUCUAGAAGAUAUUUGGGUUGUUAGCUCAUUGAGGGCAAGGCCAGAAUGCACUGACAAUGGUUUGUUGAAUUUGUUGUUUGUUGGUGAGUUUAUAACUAAACGAACACAUAUUCGACCCCAGACCACCCCAGAGGGAAGCUGCAAUUGUGUCUGGCAAUGGGUGAAGUGAUUACUUUCUUGUGACUUUUCCCAAGUGAGGGCUCUUGCAUUCAUUCAGUGAACACAGCAAGCACCCAUCCUGCUGUGCACAGAACUAGAAAACAAGUUGGGGGCUUCCAAGGGCAAGAAUGUCUUGCUUCUCCUGAAAACUCCAUUCCGAGUCCUACACAUCUGGGAGUCUGUCCACCUCCAUGUGCAUGGAAGCCAUAGGGUUUCCUGUGAGGCAAGAAGUGUACCACUCAGGGUGGGGCACGGGACUGAAUCACACUCCUCCCACCCUCUCGCUUGGUGCCCCAGCUGUGCCUCAGAAUCACAAAACAAAGACAGCUCUGCUCCUCUCCUGUGGAGGCCUUGGAAACAGGCAACUACCAAAAGGGAAAUGCAAGGGAAGCAGAAAAAGCUGCAGAGCAGCCAGUCAGCCCCCCGCCCACCCUCAUCUCUUUCCAAGAAUCCCUUCUCCCCUUGAGUGUCCAGUCAGAGAAUUGGAAUGUCACUGCCUGUGCCCCAACACUGCGAUGCUGCUCAGGCUGAUAAAGACAAAGGCCGCAAUUGGACUCUCUUUGCCCGAAUGUAACCCUGCCUCACAGCCUCCCUGAGGUGACCAGGGGAGAUCACGUGCUGCCCCAUACUGUCAAGAUGCUUCCGCAAGCUGCCUGCCUUGUGGUGUUGGCAGGAAGAAGGCUGCUUGGGGACUUGCACUAUCAUGCUGCCUCAUGGCGGUUCCAAGGACAACAAUACAGAGGAAGCCAAGUCUCUGAGGAAUUUCCUGAAUAAUCCAAAAUGCUCAAGUGUCAAGGAAUUUCCCCACACAGCAUCCAAGUCCAACGCAUUCCGCAUUUUGCCCCACUUCACACUUGAACACACUGUCGUGGGCACCCAGAAAAUUGUAAUUCCCAGGUGUCUUUUUUGUUUUGUUUUGUUUUGUUUUUUUCCCAGAGUGAAGUCACUGGGGGUAACUGUCAAGGCUAUAAAAAAGAAACAAGAAAUUUGAAUUCCACCUAAACUCAUCUCAGUGCCUUAAUGUUCCUUUGGGGGAGCCAGCAGCCAUUCAUUUCAAGAGCUCAGAAGGAGAGCCAGGUGACUGGGGUCCUAACUCUGUUUUCUACCUCUAACUUGAUUUGCAGCUUUAGCUAAGUCAUGUCCCUUCUCUGAGCCUCAGUGUCCACACCUAUAAACUUAGAGGUUUGGAUUAGUCAGCCUUUAAGAUUCUUUUCCAAUUAUCAAUCGCCUCUGGUAUGCAUUUGGAGCUUUGCUACUUGCCCCCAAAGCAGGAAGAAUUUCGAAACUAGAAGCCAGUAUUUCAGAAAGCUCAGGAAAAGAAGACCUGUGAAAACACUGACAUUUGUGGAAAUCCAAGCACAAACACCAAUCACAAUCCAGUAACAUAGUCCAACCAAGGAAACUAUGUACUUGAGAACAAUGAAAGUAUAUUUAGUUCUUUGUCAAAAGUUAAAACUAAAUUUAACCUUUUUUUUUUUGCUAAAUUUAUUUUAUUUAUUUUGUUGUGUGUUGAGUAUAUUUUUUAAAGGAAGCAAGCACCUUUUAUUAAAAGAUUAUACUGUGCCAAUUUUUAUUAGAGGAAACAGUAAAUUUGCUUACUUUUCUGCACAGAUAUGUAUAUUAGAUAAGGAAUGAGGACUUUUAGAGUGAAUAGCUAGGAAGAACAAUGAAUUGAUUUAUGAAUUAACCUUUUUUAAGCAAAUAAAACUAGGAAAGGGUUGAGUCAGUGUAGUGAACACUGUUGGUGCCUUAUUGGUACCCGUCUGUGCCAAGCCGCUGUGAAUGUUCACUGCUGAUGGCUCACAGGAAUUGCCCUCCACCUAAUGGAGCUGACUCUCCUGGGAAGUUCUGUUCCCCUCAUUUUUGGCCAAAAACCGGUUGAUAAGGGGUUAAAGUAUCUGGUACCUCACCUCAGGAGGAGACCAACUCUGUAUUGGGAUUUAUGCUUCAGAGCUCUACUUCUCCUGACGUGAGUCCUGUCUGACUACUUGCCCUUCCCAUCCUGCUUCCACCCACACAAUGCCCACACCGUAGAAUCUCUGGACGGAUAUACAAGAAACUGUUAACACUAUUGUUUCUAUGAAGUGGAACUACAUGUCUGGAUUUCUUUUCAGUCCAUAUUUAUUAUCACAAAUACAUGAAUGUAUUAUUUAAUAAAACCAGUUGAUUUUUAAAA